GACGAACGCUGGCGGCGUGCCUAACACAUGCAAGUCGAACGAAGCAUAGCAAUAUGCUUAGUGGCGGACGGGUGAGUAACGCGUGAACAAUCUGCCCUGUACAAAGGAAUAGCCUCGGGAAACCGGGAUUAAAACCGUAUGACACCUUAGUAUCGCAUGAUAAGAAAGUCAAAUCGAUUAGAGGUAUGGGAUGAGUUCGCGUCUGAUUAGCUGGUUGGCGGGGUAACGGCCCACCAAGGCGACGAUCAGUAGCCGGCCUGAGAGGGUGAACGGCCACACUGGAACUGAGACACGGUCCAGACUCCUACGGGAGGCAGCAGUGGGGAAUAUUGCACAAUGGAGGGAACUCUGAUGCAGCGACGCCGCGUGAGUGAAGAAGGUCUUCGGAUCGUAAAACUCUGUCCUUGGUGAAGAAAAGGACGGUAGCCAAGGAGGAAGCCCCGGCUAACUACGUG
rnacentral:rRNA from 1 species